ensembl:snRNA U6 U6 spliceosomal RNA
GUGCUCACUUUGGCAGCACAUUUACUAAAAUUGGAACAAUACAGGGAAGAUUAGCAUCUUAUGCAAGGAUGACAUGCAAAUUCAUGAAGCAUUCCAUAUUUUU